GGUCUUGAGGUGUUACGGCGGCACACCACCCUGGUACGGUGGCGGUCUGGGUUCGACUCCCAGCGGGACCU
rfam:Planctomycetaceae bacterium SCGC AG-212-F19 AG-212-F19.59, whole genome shotgun sequence.